CCUACGGGAGGCAGCAGUGAGGAAUAUUGGUCAAUGGGCGCGAGACUGAACCAGCCAAGCAGCGUGAAGGAUGACUGCCCUACGGGUUGUAAACUUCUUUUAUCAAGGAAUAAAGUGAGGCACGUGUGCCUUUUUGUAUGUACUUUAUGAAUAAGGAUCGGCUAACUCCGUGCCAGCAGCCGCGGUAAUACGGAGGAUCCGAGCGUUAUCCGGAUUUAUUGGGUUUAAAGGGUGCGUAGGGGGGUUGUUAAGUCAGUUGUGAAAGUUUGCGGCUCAACCGUAAAAUUGCAAUUGAUACUGGCAGUCUUGAGUACGGGUGAGGUAGGCGGAAUUCGUGGUGUAGCGGUGAAAUGCUUAGAUAUCACGAAGAACUCCGAUUGCGAAGGCAGCUUACUAAACUGCCACUGACGUUGAUGCUCGAAAGUGUGGGUAUCAAACAGGAUUAGAUACCCGAGUAGUC
rnacentral:rRNA from 1 species